rnacentral:rRNA from 1 species
GACGAACGCUGGCGGCAUGCCUAAUACAUGCAAGUCGAGCGAACAGAUGAAGUGCUUGCACUUCUGACGUUAGCGGCGAACGGGUGAGUAACACGUAAGGAAUCUACCUAUAAGCGGGGGAUAACAUUCGGAAACGGGUGCUAAUACCGCAUAAUAUCUUCUUCCGCAUGGAAGAAGAUUGAAAGACGGCUCUGCUGUCACUUAUAGAUGACCUUGCGGUGCAUUAGUUAGUUGGUGGGGUAACGGCCUACCAAGACGAUGAUGCAUAGCCGACCUGAGAGGGUGAUCGGCCAAAUUGGGACUGAGACACGGACCAAACUCCUACGGGAGGCAGCAGUAGGGAAUCUUCCGCAAUGGGCGAAAGCCUGACGGAGCAAUGCCGCGUGAGUGAAGAAGGCCUUCGGGUCGUAAAACUCUGUUAUAAGAGAAGAACAAAUUGUAGUGUAACUGCUACAGUCUUGACGGUAUCUUAUCAGAAAGCCACGGCUAACUACGUGCCAGCAGCCGCAGUAA